UACGUAGGUGGCAAGCGUUGUCCGGAAUUAUUGGGCGUAAAGCGCGCGCAGGCGGCCUUUUAAGUCUGAUGUGAAAGCCCACGGCUCAACCGUGGAAGGUCAUUGGAAACUGAAAGGCUUGAGUACAGAAGAGGAAAGCGGAAUUCCACGUGUAGCGGUGAAAUGCGUAGAGAUGUGGAGGAACACCAGUGGCGAAGGCGGCUCUCUGGAACGCAACUGACGCUGAGACGCGAAAGCGUGGGGAGCAAACAGG
rnacentral:rRNA from 1 species